rnacentral:rRNA from 1 species
UACGAAGGGGGCUAGCGUUGCUCGGAAUCACUGGGCGUAAAGCGCACGUAGGCGGAUCUUUAAGUCAGGGGUGAAAUCCUGGAGCUCAACUCCAGAACUGCCUUUGAUACUGAAGAUCUUGAGUUCGGGAGAGGUGAGUGGAACUGCGAGUGUAGAGGUGAAAUUCGUAGAUAUUCGCAAGAACACCAGUGGCGAAGGCGGCUCACUGGCCCAUAACUGACGCUGAGGCACGAAAGCGUGGGGAGCAAACAGG